rnacentral:rRNA from 1 species
UACAGAGGUCCCAAGCGUUGUUCGGAUUCACUGGGCGUAAAGGGUGCGUAGGCGGCUUUGCAAGUCUGAUGUGAAAUCUCCGGGCCCAACCCGGAAACGGCAUUAGAAACUGCGGGGCUAGAGGCUUGGAGGGGGAACUGGAAUGCUCGGUGUAGCAGUGAAAUGCGUAGAGAUCGAGCGGAACACCAGUGGCGAAGGCGAGUUCCUGGACAAGACCUGACGCUGAGGCACGAAAGCCAGGGGAGCAAACAGG